CUCGUAGGUAAGCCUGGGAAACUGGGUCUAAUACCGGAUAGGACCAUGGACUUCACGGUUUGUGGUGGAAAGCUUUUGCGGUGUGGGAUGGGCCCGCGGCCUAUCAGCUUGUUGGUGGGGUAAUGGCCUACCAAGGCGACGACGGGUAGCCGGCCUGAGAGGGUGUCCGGCCACACUGGGACUGAGAUACGGCCCAGACUCCUACGGGAGGCAGCAGUGGGGAAUAUUGCACAAUGGGCGCAAGCCUGAUGCAGCGACGCCGCGUGAGGGAUGACCCGGCCUUCGGGUUGUAAACCUCUUUCAAUAGGGACGAAGCGCAAGUGACGGUACCUAUAGAAGAAGCACCGGCCAACUACGUG
rnacentral:rRNA from 1 species